AUUGAACGCUGGCGGCAGGCUUACCCCCUGCGAGUCGAGCGAGCGGCGGACGGGUGAGUAAUGUCUGGGCAACUGCCUGAUGGAGGGGGAUAACUACUGGAAACGGUAGCUAAUACCGCAUACCAUCAGAUGUGCCCAGAUGGGUUUAGCUAGUAGGUGGGGUAAUGGCUACCCUAGGCGACGAUCCCUAGCUGGUCUGAGAGGAUGACCUGCAACACGGGACGUGGGAAACGGUCCGAACUCCUACGGGAGGAAGCAGUGGGGAAUAUUGCACAAGGGGCGAAAGCCGGAUGCAGCCAUGCCGCGUGGGGGAGGAAGGCCUUCGGGUUGUAAAGCACUUUGAGCGAGGAGGCGUUACUCACAGAAGAAGCACCGGCUAACUCAGGGCCAGCAGCCGCGGUAAUUC
rnacentral:rRNA from 1 species